CGGAGGGUGCAAGCGUUAUCCGGAUUCACUGGGUUUAAAGGGUGCGUAGGCGGGCAGGUAAGUCCGUGGUGAAAUCUCUGAGCUUAACUCAGAAACUGCCAUGGAUACUAUUUGUCUUGAAUAUUGUGGAGGUAAGCGGAAUAUGUCAUGUAGCGGUGAAAUGCUUAGAUAUGACAUAGAACACCAAUUGCGAAGGCAGCUUACUACACAGUUAUUGACGCUGAGGCACGAAAGCGUGGGGAUCAAACAGGAUUAGAUACCCUGGUAGUCCACGCCCUAAACGAUGAUUACUCGACAUCAGCGAUACACUGUUGGUGUCUGAGCGAAAGCAUUAAGUAAUCCACCUGGGAAGUACGACCGCAAGGUUG
rnacentral:rRNA from 1 species